rnacentral:rRNA from 1 species
UUAAUGAAUUGACGGGACCCGCACAAGCGGUGGAUGAUGUGGUUUAAUUCGAUGCAACGCGAAAACCUUACCCACCUUUGACAUGGCAGGAAUCCUAAAGAGAUUUGGGAGUGCUCGAAAGAGAACCUGCACACAGGUGCUGCAUGGCUGUCGUCAGCUCGUGUCGUGAGAUGUUGGGUUAAGUCCCGCAACGAGCGCAACCCUUGCCAUUAGUUGCUACGAAAGGGCACUCUAAUGGGACUGCCGGUGACAAACCGGAGGAAGGUGGGGAUGACGUCAAGUCCUCAUGGCCCUUAUAGGUGGGGCUACACACGUCAUACAAUGGCCGGUACAGAGGGUAGCCAACCCGCGAGGGGGAGCCAAUCCCACAAAGCCGGUCGUAGUCCGGAUCGCAGUCUGCAACUCGACUGCGUGAAGUCGGAAUCGCUAGUAAUCGCGGAUCAGCAUGUCGCGGUGAAUACGUUCCCGGGUCUU